rnacentral:rRNA from 1 species
AUUGAACGCUGGCGGCAUGCCUUACACAUGCAAGUCGAACGGCAGCACGGGUGCUUGCACCUGGUGGCGGGUGGGGAACGGGUGAGUAAUACAUCGGCACAUGUCCUUUAGUGGGGGAUAGUCCGGCUAAAACCGGAUACAUACCGCAGACGAUCGACGGAUGAAACCAAGGGUCCGUCCGCCCUCGCGCAGUUAGGUUGGCCGAUGGCUGAUUAGCUAGGUGGUGCUGUGUAGGUCUACUAAGGCGACGAUCAGUAGAUGGUCUGAGAGGACGACUAGCUACCUUGGGACUGAGACAGGGCACCGACACCUACGGUGGGCAGCAGCGGGGACUUUUGGGCAAUGGGGGAAAGCCUGAUCCAGCAAUGCCGCGUGUAUCAUGAAGGCCUUCGGGUGGUAAAGCACUUUUGUCCGGAAAGAUGUCAUGGGCUCUAAUACAGUCCGAGGAUGACGGUACCGGAGGAAUAAGCACCGGCUAACUACGUG